AGCCAGAGCUGGCGCUCCCUGAAGUGCCUGAGGUCGCCUUGCCUGGGUGGGGAAAGGUCGCGGCCCGUGGGGGUCAGUUUGCUGCUCUUUCCUUCAGCCAAGGCUGCUUGGCUCAGCCAGCGAGUCUGAGGAGUGUGAGAAGCACUGGGCUUCCUCAGUCACGGGGGCAGGAGGGCUGGAGGUGGGUGCCCCUGUGGGGCAGUGCCAGGUCUCCAGGCAGCAGGCAGAGGCGGCCUGGGGCUUUGCGGCUCGGGGGUGGGGGGCCCACAGCCGGCACAGCAUGCUCGCUGUGUACUCCAGGAAGGGCUACACUUCAGGCCACGGCAGGACUUUACAGAAGGCAUGGGAAGUAGAACAGGAGGGCGAGGGAAGACCAGAGUCUCAGACCAGAUACUCAGACCCUGAGUCUCCCAGAAGGCAGCUUCACCGGCCUGCGGGCACUCGGCCCCACUUCCGACAGGCGUGGGGGUCAGGCACCCUGGAGGAUCCCUCGGAGAGAAGGAGGUUUGGAGAUGCCACAACUUGGUCAGGCUCUGUGCUCCACUUUAAACAAGCCAGUGAAACCCUGGCUCAGCUGAGGCUUAGGCUGCUAAUCCCACGUGGGGCCUGGAUAUCAUCUGAACCUUUGACCCUCCCAGGGGCAGCAGCAGUGAGGACGGGUAGAGAGGCCCAAAUGCCAGCUGCCCGACUCUCUGGAUGUGGCUCCAGCAAGAAGUCCCCGUUUCCUCUCCCCUCCAGAGGUCACCUGCAGGGCUGGCUGCCUGAGGGGUAUCUGUGCCCCAAGUAGCUGGGGAGACAGGGCACCUCCUGCAUUUGAGCAGAGAUGCAGUCUGGGCUGGAGACCCUGAGGGUGACCUGUGGGUGCGCUGGUUUGGGGUUAGUCUCAUGUAACUGUGCUGCUGGCCUGAUACCCCGGGGCUCCAGCAGAAAGCCCAUCUGUAGAAGCGAAGUGGAGGAUGACCCUGAGCGGCGCUGGUGCCAGGGGGCCACUGAGCCCCUCAGGCUCUUUCUUUAAUCCACAUUCAUGGCCAACCUUGGCUCUGACUUGCCCUGCCUGAGUCCCUGGUCUUGAAGGCUCAGACAAGAUGGUGCCCCUGUGGUUGAUUUGAGGGCCCCUCGCUGUCAUUCACCUCUGAGCCUUGUCUCCAGGAGCGCUGGAUUUGCCCAUGAGUCUGCCAGUGACUUGCUGCAUGACCCAGGGCCCGUGUCUUCCCCUUCAUAACCUCAUUUUUCCGUUUGCAAAAGCCAGGCAAUUAUUGUCUACUACAUCCGGUGGGAACGUACAAGGCAGUGUUGUUCAGGGUUAAGUUAACACCCUGCCCCCUCACUCCCAGAACAAGAAUUGUCCCUAAAGUUAUACCAUAAGCAAUUCUGCUACUACUCUUACUAAGAAAAAAAGCCAGCACAUUUCUGGGGGGAUUGGGAGCUUUUUUUAAGGUAUAGGGGCAUUGGCCAUUUAAAUUCUUAAAUAGCUUUGAAAUGUGUGGUGGUGUGUGGCCUCAUUCAGACGUUGACAUUGGGAAAAAUGGAAAGAAUCUCUUCCUCCUUUCCCCCUUCCUCUUUCUUUGUCCUUCCAGCUCUUGCAGGUGAGGUAAUAAGAGGAGAGCGCCACGUAGAAGUGAGGUGCUUUGGUGGUAACAAUUUGGAGUCUUUGUCUUGAAGAAUCUGGCUUUCUGCAUUUCAGUUUUGUGGAAUCAUUUUGGAUAUGUCCUUCUGUGCACUUAAACAUCUUAAACACUGUGUCUUUUGAAACAGUCAUUAACCUUUCACAGUAGAGUCUGUGUAUCAUGCAUGACUGAGCCACACUUCCUAUGCGAUCGCUGCUUUGAGGAAGCCUGUGCUUCGGACUUUCCAUGAGUCAGGGACCCACAGGGAGGGCACUUCCGCCACGGCCACGGCGUUGUUUUGGGGCCCCCGCCCCCAAGGCGUGCAGUGCCUCCUCCCCUCGCAGUGAUGUCUUCCGUUUCCACAAUACUUACUGCUUGUUUUUAAAUGUGGCGCCUUAUCUUGAUACAUGUGUUCAAUAAAGAGCAACACACAAGGUGUUUCUCUCAAUCUGUUACAGAAAAAAAAAAAGCCAGCCCCGCGGUCCAGGGCGGGAAAGGCUCUCGCACCGCGGUGACCCUGCCGUCGAGCUGGAGGCGGUCAGCGUCCGGGAAUGCCGUCCGUGGGAGGCCGGGCCUGCCGUGGGCUCCCCGCUGGGGCUUCCUGUGGCUCUCUGGUCGCUCCCUUCUUUCUCCUCUGGGCUCAGUGCCUGUGGCUCCGCUGGGCUCUUGCUCCCUUCCUGUGAGGCUGGAGCUUGUCCGUGAAGAAGACCCACGGCCGGUCUGGCCCAACAUUGAACCGCUGGUGCCUGCAGGCCUGUGGGGCAGUGAGGGCCAGGGGCUGCCGGCCUCCAGCCCCAGCUAUCCCUCUCCUGAUCACAAACAGAAUCCCACCUGAAGCAGGAGGAGGUGGCACCGGGUGAGAAUAGGGAGAAUGACAAGUGGGGUGCCUGGAGGGUCCCCUGGACUGUGCCUCCCUGGCCCCAGCUCCUGGGCUAGAAGGUAAGGGCUCCGGGCCCAGCUCUGCUAGAAGUGGCAGCUGACACUCUCAGCCUGAUGGACUCCCUCACGGGAGGUGGAGGCCGCUGGUCACAGGGCUGUUACAGGCAUCAAAUUAGGUGAUGGUCUGUUUAAUAAGAGAAAGUAGCAACAGUGUCUUCAGAGGGCUAGGGCUCACUCAGGUAAGAGAAGUGUUUUGUGAAGGUGAGGGAGGGAUACUGGCCACGCCGUGGCUUUCCCCGUGUCUGUCUGACAGUGUAAGGAGGGGCUGUGUGGCCACACAUGGGCCUUGGCAUCAGAGAUCCUAGAUUCCCCUAAUGCUAAAAUUAACUUGGAUAUUUUAUUAACCGAGCUCAGCUAAGCUGCCUGUGCUAUUUUUAACCCCUGAGGACGAAGGUGCAGGGCCUGGCUGCACCUGGGAAACAGCAGGGGCUCCGGCAGGGGCAGGUUCAGCCUGGGGCCCGGGCCUUGCCUGGAAAGGGGAGUGGGUUUCUUGUGCGUGUGUGGGUGUGGAGGCUGGAUGCAGAUGCUAAGGGCGUCGUUUCCAUGUAUUAUCUCAUUUUAUCUAAACUCUGGAAACUCCACGGCACUGAGGUGGAGAAAGGGAGACCCACGGAUUUAUCUGGGCCCAAGCACCCCAGCUCCACGGGCUCCUGGGAUCCGAGUUCUUCUCCUCACCACUUAGUAUUGUCCAUUAAUUUUUUUUUCUUUGAGACUGGGCCUCACUGUGUUGCCCAGGCUGGUCUCCAACUCUCCAACUCCAGGACUCAAGGGAUCUUCCUGCUUCAACUUCCUGAGUAGCUGGGACACAGGUGCUCACCACUGCAGCCUGCCUGUCAGUUUGGAGAGCUGUUUCUUCUCUGUGAUCUUGGAUUGGAAUGGGGGGAAUCAUGGAGGGCUGGAGAACAGAGAGACUUGUUGGUGACCUUAGGGACACGAGGCAGGCAGUGUUCAGGCAGGGAAGGAAGGAAGGGGCUGCUGGUCUGUGUGGGUGGACAGUGGCCUGGGAGGCCCAAGACACAGGGUGUGCUGGGAAGACAGUUUGGAGAUGCAGAGGUGAUCCUUUAAGCAGGGCCACAGCCACCCAUCCAGCCUUCAGGUGUGUGAGCAAAUGGUGCCUGGCAGGUGGACUCAGCCAGGGUGCUGGACUGGUGGGCAGAGUGUGGACCCCGGAGGCAGCCCUGGGGGCGUCAUUCCUGGAAGGGAAUCUGGCAUUGGUGGAAAACACUUUGACUUGCUUCUUUGGAGCUAAUGGAAGCAAAUGAGGCAUUUGGAGCUAAGGAGCGUGUGAACCGCGCAGGCGCAGAGUGGAUGAGCGGCGUCUCCCUGAGGCUGUGGCACCGUGUUUGCAGGUGGCGCGUCAUGUUUUAAACAUAGACGUGUGUGUGUUUAGAAAGGAGGUGGACGUAUUGGCUGGAAACAGCCACAAGCAAAGUGAUGGCUGCUAAGGUUUUGAAAGUGAAGGCUGCUGAGCGAUGGUGGGAGGGGCUUGGUGAGGAGGAGAGCUCCUGGGGGCCCUCGGGGGAGACGUGGACGUAGCGAACCCACUUGGAAUCAGACACCCGAGACUGCGUGCUGGCCACGUUUCUUGACAAUUCUUUGAUUUUAGAUGACCCCUAACCUCUCUCUGCCUUGGUUUCUUGGUUUGUGAAAGUGGAGGCCAAGGCCUUCUUUUGCAGAGAUUAAUGGGACUUAGAUGCACCAGGCACUUCCCCCGCUCAGAUCUUCAUAGAUGGGAGGUAUUAUUCUAGCAGAAUUUGAAGCUAUCUGUUCGUCUGUAAUGAACUGGACUUCUAUGUAAGCAAAUAUAUAAUUUGAAAAAGAGCUACACUUUAAUAAGUAGGAGGGUGUUGAGAUCCGGGAGAGCUCACACUCUGGAGAGGUGGCUUUUGUUUUUGGUUUUGGCUGUCAUCUGGGUGUCUGGGAGGGAUGGCUUUCAACUUGCUCCUGAAGAGAGAGGUGGCUUUGGUUUUGGCUGUCAUCUUGGAGGGGGUCUGGGAGGGGUAGCUUUGAACUUGCCCCUGAAGAGAGAGUGAGGUCUCAGGAAGGGAAGGAAUCAUUUGGGUUGGGCUGGUGUUAUGAGAUGCACGGCCUGGCCUUUGAGGGGCCCAGAUAAGUUAGCUGGAGGGGCCAGUGGGACGUGUGGAUGGGCCUCUGGCCGAUGGGUUGACAGAAGGGGCCACACGGGGUCCCGUGGGGAUGUGGUGUCAUGCCCCGCAGGUGCCGGUACCUCUGGAGGGUGCGAGGUUGGACAGCAGGUGCCGGUACCUCUGGAGGGUGCGAGGUUGGACAGCAGGUGCCGGUACCUCUGGAGGGUGCGAGGUUGGACAGCAGGUGCCGGUACCUCUGGAGGGUGCGAGGUUGGGCAGCAGGUGCCGGUACCUCUGGAGGGUGCGAGGUUGGGCAGCAGGUGCCGGUACCUCUGGAGGGUGCGAGGUUGGGCAGCAGGUGCCGGUACCUCUGGAGGGUGCGAGGUUGGGCAGCAGGUGCCGGUACCUCUGGAGGGUGCGAGGUUGGGCAGCAGGUGCCGGUACCUCUGGAGGGUGCGAGGUUGGACAGCCGUUGUGGAACUGUGGUGGGGGUCGGGGAGGCAGCUCACUGAGCGCGUCUCGUCUUACGCAGCCGCGGGUCAGAGCAGGGGUCUGUGUUCACGCAGGAAAGGAGGGGCUUGCCGUGCAACCAGAGCUUCUAGCUUUGAACCAUAGGUGAAGGCGAUGAACAGACGUGUCUACUGCAGCAGCACCUGUGGCCAGUGGCUGAGUGAGCAAAUAGCAAACAGUAGAAGCAAUGUUGAGGAGUUGGGGUCUCCCCACCAAUCUCCUGUCGAACUGUCACCCCGUCGUUGGAAGUGGGGCCUGGUGGGAAGCGACUGGAUCUUGAGGGUGGAUUUAUAUGAACAGCUCAGCGCUAUCCCCUUGGUGCUGUUCUCACGAUAGUGAGUGAGUUCUCGUGAGAUCCGGUGGCACACCUCCCACCUCGCGCUCUUGCCCCCGCUCUCGCCGUGUGAGACACCUGCUCCCCCUUCACCUUCUGCCAUGACUGGAAGCUUCCCGAGGCCUCCCCAGAAGCAGAUGCCUCCAUACUUCCUGUACGGCUUGCAGCACCGUGACCAAUAAACCUCGUUUAUUUUGAAUUA